AGCGAACGUUAGCGGCGGGCCUAACACAUGCAAGUCGAACGAGAAAAUCCUUCGGGAUGAGUACAGUGGCGCACGGGUGAGGAACGCGUAGGUAAUCUACCCUCUGGCGGGGGACAACACUCCGAAAGGAAUGCUAAUACCGCAUAAGACCACACGUACCACGGUACGAGUGGUAAAAGGCGCCUCAAAGCGUCACCAGAGGAUGAGCCUGCGUCCCAUCAGCUAGUUGGUGAGGUAACGGCUUACCAAGGCGAAGACGGGUAGCUGGUCUGAGAGGAUGAUCAGCCACACUGGCACUGGAACACGGGCCAGACUCCUACGGGAGGCAGCAGUGAGGAAUAUUGGGCAAUGGGCGCAAGCCUGACCCAGCCACGCCGCGUGUGUGAUGAAGGCCUUCGGGUCGUAAAGCACUGUGGAGAGGGACGAAAACAUGCAGGAGGAAAUGCCUGCGUCUUGACGGUACCUCUUUAGCAAGCACCGGCUAACUCUGUGCCAGCCGCCGCCGUAACAC
rnacentral:rRNA from 1 species